rnacentral:rRNA from 1 species
UACGUAGGGGGCGAGCGUUGUUCGGAUUUACUGGGCGUAAAGGGCGCGUAGGCGGCCCUCUUUGUCGCGUGUGAAAGCCCCGGGCUCAACCUGGGAAUGGCGCGCGAAACGGGGGGGCUUGAGUUCGGGAGAGGAGCGUGGAAUUCCCAGUGUAGAGGUGAAAUUCGUAGAUAUUGGGAAGAACACCGGUGGCGAAGGCGGCGCUCUGGGCCGAUACUGACGCUGAGGAGCGAAAGCGUGGGGAGCGAACAGG